CCCAUCAUACAGCAACAAGCACUUUUGAUAAGAGCUUCCAAUGUAUGGCCACCACAGAACAUAAACAAAUGACGACUAGAUAUAGAGCCUUGUUGUCCACCACCUCCAUGCCCAGAGCCUUUGUAGAUGCUACUGCUAGCACCAUAGAGAUUUGUGUACUAUGCAGUGCAAAUGGCACAUACAUCCAGAUACCAAUUAAAAGUGGUGAUCAAGCUCUUGUCAUAAAUAAAAAAACAUGAUCAUGCAGUCUAGAUUUUACAUAUAGUCGACAUAAAGUUUGAAAGAUGAAACUUUCAAUCUGUGUAAUCUUUAAGUAAGUGGGAUGACGAGGAGAUUAGGAUUGUGCAUUUUGUAUAUAAUAAAUGCAGGUGUGGUACUAACAGUCUCUAAAGAGACACUUGUAGCAACCAAAGGAGACAUAAGAGGCGCAUUAUGCAUUUUGGAUCUCUUCUACACCAUCUGCAAGUUUUGCAACCUGCCUUUUCUUAAUCCGGAUCACAUUUUAUCUUUUAGAAAGAAAUAUAUCUACAUUACUCUGCAUAACAUGUAGUGGAUUUGCACAUAAAUAUGCGUAUAAACAACCAACAAAAUGAUAAAGGUUUACCUCUCAU
rnacentral:lncRNA from 1 species